ACUGAGAACAACAGAAAGGAAGCGAGUCAUUAGUAGGGCCUCCAUAUUGUAGCAUGCAUCUGGGCAGCGUGGCUGGUAGUGUUAUAUUUUCAUGCUGCCAUGCAGGAAGGAGGUGUUUGGGGUCGGGAGACACCGUAAGUGAACAGAUGGGGCACAUCCUGGGAGUGGAUACUCUGCACCAGGAGUGGAUGGAGGACACACGACCGAUUCAGCAGGGUUACCUGGCUUAGACUGCACUCCCAACCGGGUGAUCCGGGAGUGAGGUGGCAUCAGGUCCCUUCACCUUGUGACUGGCAGAAAUAGUGCACCAGAGACAUAAAGGGUGAGGGGAUGUGCUAUAGGAUGCCUGUGUAACCCUGAGGCGGGGAGGCUAGAUCUAUAACCCUGCAUGGAGGAGGGAUAAAACACACCGAGUGAAAUCAGGAAACCGGCUUAGGCAGGAGUGCUGAGAACUUCCUCAGCUCUCAUACCUGCGCACACACGUCUUGAAGCUUCAAAGCACCAUAAACUAGUUUGCAUGUGCAACUGUGACUUGGGUGUAGGACAGAUUGCUUCCUUUAUGAUUUAUAGAUGGGUGUUACUGCUAAAACGGGCAUCUAGCAGAAGCAGUUUGGACGUUAGGUGAGGAUAGGAUGAGGCUGUUAUCGACACAGCCGUGUUCCCGUUUCUACACAUGGCCUACAAAGAGCGGUCUGGAGAGGUGGGGGCCUGCGGGCACCUCACACGCGCCCCGGCUCUGCUAUUUGUGAGAGAACGAUGUUAUUCCAUACCUGCCAGCAGCUUCUUAAUGUCAACUGUUGUCAUUCCAAGGAAAGGCAUGGGGGAGAGAGAAAUAGGAAGCAAAAUUGACAUUGACAAGAAAGCACGUUUCUCCUGAUAGAUUAAUACCAACAAGAGACUCCACUGAGAACGUUACAAGCACACCACCAGCCGGCUGACGCGUGCCUCGACUGACAUUUAGUUUUAUUUUUGUCAGUAAAGAUCUCUCGAGUCUAUGUUUAAUCAGACCACUCCAGGCUGGAUGCACUGAUCCAGUCUCCCAGACACAGCUGGUUUCCUGGAUACAGAAGGCUGCAAACCUCCACACUACCGCCAUGGCCUCUCCUCAGCCAGUGCCUAUGCCAUGCUACGGCUGCGUGUGAUGAAGAGCAAGGGUUCCAUGGGGGUACCAGCGGAUGCAAAAAGAACAACUUCUCGCAUCCUGUUCCGAUGCCGUCACACAUGGACCACAGCUCUAGGGUGGGUCGUUCCACCGUACAAACAAGAAUGCCAGGAAGCUCCCUCAGCCACACUGGAAGCCACAGACACAGAUGCAGGGCGUCCCUCCCCACCCCCACCCCCACCACGCACACGAACAACACACGAGUUUCAGAGAGGCCUCCAAGACACAGAGAGGAAGAGGAAGAUCUAACAGCUCAGCUCACCCGGUGCAUUGAGAGACUGUAAAGAAGAGUGCAAGCUGAGCUGAUGGGGCGAGGAUCGGAAAUCAAAGUAGGAUCUCCCGGGGAAGCUGGGUUGUAGAUUAAGGGUGGAGGAGAAAGGACUCAUUCUGCGGAGCGGCAGUCUUUCCGAAGGCACUGGAAAAGGGAGGGUCUGUUCUUCUGAAUCUGUGUCUAAACGUGAGAUCAAGGCAAACCAGAGAUCAGACAUCUGCUGGCCGCCCAUGCCAGGUUCCCAAAGACCACCUACGCAAGCUUUCACACAAAGAUGCAUCGGCCCCACAGGCACCACCCACAGGAAUUAGCAAAACGGUGUGUCUGAGGUGGGAACUGUCAGUGGGUCGGGACCCCAGACCAGACAACCACUCCAGCACCACUGGCAAUCGUUUGUAUUUCUCUAACUUUUAGUAAUAGAAAGGCGUGAAGGAGGUUUUUCCUUUCUAUUAAGUGAAACAUGUUGAGACUUACAGAUAUGACCAUCAAUCCGUUAUCCUGCAGACACUUGUUGUUUUGAAGAUUAAGGUAAGUUGAUGUUUGGAGCACAUUGACUCUCCAAGCAGUGAUCUGAACACGCAUGGAGAGACGUGUACUCUGCCCGUAAUUUUGGGCUCAGAUCCAAGCCAAUCAUGAGGAACACUCCCCCUUUUUAUUCUCAGUGCCAAGAACUUUGAGGUGGGGUGCUAAGUGUAGCCAUGGCUAUCCCUAGGAUUAAUAAUGGCAAUAAGACUGUUUUCUAUUCUUUUAUGUGGAUGGAUAGAUUGCCUAUCAAUAAGCCAUGUUUUCCUUGACUCAGCUUCCUCUUGAACUUGUCCUCUACCCAGGCGGAGAGGUUCAACUGCUAUUCAUUCUUUGUUUUUCAGCUGUGAACUUUCAAGCCCAACCAGGUGGGACCUGCUCCCAUUUUCCCAAGCAAAAUGAAGCAAAACAAACCACACAAAAUCAAACCUACCUUGCUAUGAGAAUUUUCCAAACAAAUUAGAGGAGAGAGUAAAGGCUGCUUUCCCUUCCCACUGGGUCCUGGAGUGGAGACCUAGCUGACAGCAGAAGGCUCUGCUUAAAGGAAGCAAUCGAGAUUUACCAAGAUAAUAAAGACCCGCUGGGGACCACUUACGCUCUUUACUGACUUCCAGGAUCAAGAAAAGAAGAUCUAGGUGCUGUACCCUGUUUGGAUCAUGUUUCUUUUAUUUGUUUGACACUUACUGAAUAACUAUCAUGGGUGUUAGACUUGAGUAGUUGAAAAGCAUGAGGCUGGAAGAACUGACUAUAAGAGAAUUAUCAAUCAAGAGGAAAUGUGUCAAUCAUCAUCGAUAAGUUUUAUACUUCUGGGGGGUGGGGUGGCAUUUUUUAUUCUAACAUUUCCAAGAUUUCGAAAUAUUUGUAAACUUAAAACAUUAAGUAUUAGAAAAUGUGGAAUAGUUUGUAUAUGUAAAUUAUUCCAUCUUUAAAAAUGUCUGUGUGUAUGCUUCAUGUGAAAAUGUCCACAGAGGCCAGAAGAGGUCAUUGGAUCCCAUGAAGACAGUUACAGGCGGUUGUGAGCAGCCUAAAACUCGGAACUCAAUGGAGGUCCUCCGCAAGGGCAAGAAGUGCUCUUAAGCACUAGGCUAUGCUCCAGCCUGAUUAAUGCUCUUUUGGGGACUCAACGGGAGUGAAGUGACUGAAUUUCUUAUGCAACAUUCACUAAUCUGGCUUCCUCUGUGUCCCGGUGGGAGGGAGCUCUAGGUGUCUCCCUGCCUGGCAGGCACAGCUUUGACACCGAGCAGCCAUAGGACCACAGCCUGACAGGAGGGGAGGCGUUCAGAGCGGAGCAGACAAGAGAUGCCCCUGAGCGCUGCACCAACACCGGGAAGAUGAGUUCUGCUGUGGCGGGAACAGCUGUCAGCUAAUCUGCUCUUGGUGGGAAGACUUUGAAAAGGAGACGAGGAAAGGCAUGAGAAAGUAGACAAUUUUCUCAAAUGAUCAAACAGGUAGCCGGAGUCACAAUUACGUCCAACGGGUAGAUAAUUUAUAACAAAAGGUGGCAUCUUAAGCUUUCUUGAGAGCGGCAGUAAUUGCCAUUGAGUAGGAAGAACCAAAUCUGUUUUGAAAACCUCCUUUUAAAAGAAUGAACCGGCUCUUGGCACCCCGAGGAUGGCUGCAUACCUCCUUGCCCAAUCCUCCACUCCAAUUUAGGACACCAUGGCAUUAUCUAUGAGCAGCAACUCUCAUCAGGAGGCCUGAGAAUCCUCACACUUUAAUUAGAUACAUACUUCCACAGGACCGAAGAGCACAUUUUCUAGAUCUGCAGAGAGGGUGGUAGAUCCAAUUCAGUCUUAUGAAACAUUUUAGGAAAUUUCUUGGGAUGCUACAUGUUGUCAGAAUGAAAAGGACAAAAUAUUUCUUUCUUCUGGGCUCUGAAAUUUAUCAUUCUCUCUCUCUCUUUCUAUGUGGUAGAAUUUAUCCCAAAUUGGUCAAGUACAAUUUACCUACCUUGAGGAUUUUGUCCUGGGAAUGAAUGUUCUAAUUAAGUUAGUUUUUGGAGAGGCUGAGAUGUUUUUUGAGUCAGGCAAAACAAAGUAGAGGCAUGGGGGAAAAACAUAUUCAUAGCACAUAUGUUUUUCCAUAUAUGUUAAUUUCCCAAAUAUUUAAUUUAGUGCUGAAUAUUCAGUAUUAUAGGCAUAACUUAUAUGCCUAUAAUAUAGACCCACCAAGACCUUGGAGGAGGCAGUGGCACCUGGCAUCUGACCUGCAUUAAAUAUAUAGUAACAAUGCUUUACAGCCAGACUGAAGAGCCGGACCAUAGAAGCACAAACUGUAGGAACUUGGAGUUCCGUGGUUUUACAUAUGAGAGAACGGAAGCCUAGAAAGGCUAAGGAACACAUCCUCCUCUGAGGUGGGGUUGGAAAUAGACUGGCAAGAUCAGUUCCUGGUGAUGAAAU